rnacentral:misc_RNA from 1 species
ACCUUACUCUUUGGGGAGUAGCCUGCUUUCUCGUUUUCAUAAAAAUACAUAAAACAGAAAGCUCAUAUAUCAACAUAAUUGAUGCAAAAUCAUCAUGGUAUAUGAGACAAGCCUGAGCAGCUUGUUUGGCAAGACCUUAGAUUAACAUCACGAACCAUUGGGUGGGCGUGAGGUUUUU